AGCUCAAAUGAGACACUGGCAGGAAGUUUGCUGUUUGCUACCUGAGGGCUACCUCGGUCUCUGAAAGCCGGCCUUCUGGGUGAUGGAGACGCUGAGCAGGGUGAGAGGUUGGGCCUGAUGACAGCCACAUCCUUUCAAAAUCUAAAACUUCACAUCUAUGAAAAUGAAGAAUGGAGCAUACUCUAAGGAUUUGUGGACAGUGGAAACCUGAUAAGAACUUUUUUGUCCUUUGGCUCUUUAGGCAUUGCUGGUGCUGCUGCUAAGUUGCUUCAGUUGUGUCCAACUCUGCGCGACGCCAUAGAUGGCAGCCCACCAGGCUCCCCCGUCCCUGGGAUUCUCUAGGCAAGAACACUGGAGUGGGUUGCCAGUUCCUUGUCCAAUGCCUGAAAGUGAAAAGUGAAAGUGAAAGUGAAGUCAUGUCUGAGUCUUAGCAACCCCAUGGACUGCAGCCUACCAGGCUCCUCUGUCCAUAGGAUUUUCCAGGCAAGAGUACUGGAGUGGGGUGCCAUUGCCUUUUC
ensembl:lncRNA